rnacentral:rRNA from 1 species
CCUACGGGCGGCAGCAGUGGGGAAUAUUGCACAAUGGGGGAAACCCUGAUGCAGCGACGCCACGUGAGUGAAGAAGUAUUUCGGUACGUAAAGCUCUAUCAGCAGGGAAGAAAAUGACGGUACCUGACUAAGAAGCCCCGGCUAACUACGUGCCAGCAGCCGCGGUAAUACGUAGGGGGCAAGCGUUAUACGGAUUUACUGGGUGUAAAGGGAGCGUAGACGGCAGCGCAAGUCUGGAGUGAAAUCCCAUGGCUUAACCAUGGAACUGCUUUGGAAACUGUGCAGCUAGAGUGCAGGAGAGGUAAGCGGAAUUCCUAGUGUAGCGGUGAAAUGCGUAGAUAUUAGGAGGAACACCAGUGGCGAAGGCGGCUUACUGGACUGUAACUGACGUUGAGGCUCGAAAGCGUGGGGAGCAAACAGGAUUAGAUACCCCAGUAGUC